rnacentral:rRNA from 1 species
GAUGAACGCUGGCGGCGUGCCUAAUACAUGCAAGUCGAGCGAACGGACGAGAAGCUUGCUUCUCUGAUGUUAGCGGCGGACGGGUGAGUAACACGUGGAUAACCUACCUAUAAGACUGGGAUAACUUCGGGAAACCGUAGCUAAUACCGGAUAAUAUUUUGAACCGCAUGGUUCAAAAGUGAAAGACGGUCUUGCUGUCACUUAUAGAUGGAUCCGCGCUGCAUUAGCUAGUUGGUAAGGUAACGGCUUACCAAGGCAACGAUGCAUAGCCGACCUGAGAGGGUGAUCGGCCACACUGGAACUGAGACACGGUCCAGACUCCUACGGGAGGCAGCAGUAGGGAAUCUUCCGCAAUGGGCGAAAGCCUGACGGAGCAACGCCGCGUGAGUGAUGAAGGUCUUCGGAUCGUAAAACUCUGUUAUUAGGGAAGAACAUAUGUGUAAGUAACUGUGCACAUCUUGACGGUACCUGACCAGAAAGCCACGGCUAACUACGUG